rnacentral:rRNA from 1 species
UACGGAGGGUGCAAGCGUUAUCCGGAUUCACUGGGUUUAAAGGGUGCGUAGGUGGGUCUGAAAGUCAGUGGUGAAAUCUCCGGGCUUAACCUGGAAACUGCCAUUGAUACUUCAGGUCUUGAAUUUUCUGGAGGUAAGCGGAAUAUGUCAUGGAGCGGUGAAAUGCGUAGAUAUGACAUAGAACAACAAUUGCGAAGGCAGCUUACUACGGGAGUAUUGACACCGAGGCACGUAAGCGUGGGGAUCAAACAGG